rnacentral:rRNA from 1 species
UACGUAGGGUGCAAGCGUUAAUCGGAAUUACUGGGCGUAAAGCGUGCGCAGGCGGUGAUGUAAGACAGGUGUGAAAUCCCCGGGCUUAACCUGGGAACUGCAUUUGUGACUGCAUCGCUGGAGUGCGGCAGAGGGGGAUGGAAUUCCGCGUGUAGCAGUGAAAUGCGUAGAUAUGCGGAGGAACACCGAUGGCGAAGGCAAUCCCCUGGGCCUGCACUGACGCUCAUGCACGAAAGCGUGGGGAUCGAACAGG